CCCUGCUGUGACUCACUGCUGGGCUCAGAGCCACUGGAAACAUUUCUCUUGUGAAUUUGGAGAUAAGGAGCAGCUGGCUGAGGGAGGAGCGCCCCAGUAUCUGUAUUGAUGGAGAAGAAACCCGGCUGGGUCCAUGGGGACCCACAGCUGCCACCAUCAAAGCCUCAGCCAGCACAGGCCGGAGCAAGGAGUACCUUUACAGGUAUAAAGUGCUGGAGUCGGCGUUAAGAUCACCGUGUCACUGAUGGGAAAUGGAGCCUGCGUGGAGUGAAAUGACUUGCUCAUAGUGACACAGGACUGGGCCAGGAACCCUGCUGUCCUGCCUGGAGUCCAUGUCCCAUGCCCUGGA
rnacentral:lncRNA from 1 species